GCCGCUGGCAUCGGAACCACAAAGGUGUUAUCAUUUGCGUGGCACCUCCUAGAUGCCAGGCCGUGUUUAGCGUCCGGCUGAUCAGUUAGGGGGUCAUAGUAUGAGCCCCAAAUCCCAGACCAACCUGAUCCACUACUUUGAAACCCUCAUCAUCCUGGGUGAGAACCAUCGAUCGCUGUGGUCACAGACUAGAAAAGAACUCCAAGGAGCACAAGCCAGUCUACUCACCAUCUUGGGAGCUGCCUACUGGUCUUCACCCUCAACGCAG